AUGUAGCAGGCCCCCGUGGAGGAUUAACACAGUGGCUCAACACCGGGAAGGAACUGGCUCUUGGAGUCCGGACAUCUGAAACUUGAAUUAACAAGCCAACAUCAGUCUCCAGAGUGAAUCCAAGGAGAGGACCCAAGACAUUCAUGUUCUGUGAUGUGGUGACAUGUUACCUGUCAUCUCUGAUGCACAACUCCUAAAGUGUUUGCAUCUGGGGCAGUUGUACAGAUUGCAGAAGCUAAUACUCAAGAUGUUCUCCAAGGCCAACUACUCAUCAGUUUAUUCAUGUUUCUGGGAUUGGAUUCAUGAACUCAUCCUUUGAACUAUUUCAACAAGCUUUUUCAUGUAACUAAUCUGCGGAAGGUAGAAAGGGUAAAACUGUUGGGUGCUAAAAUGACAACUGGUUCAAGGGAAACAAACAAGGAGGAGCACGCCUGGGGAGGUUUUCAUGGGCCAGGACUGGAAAUGCACAUUUCUCUUUUCCUCACAUUCCAAGCUCCCAAGAUGGUGGCGGGCCACUUCCAAAAUGGUGGCAGGCCACUUCCAAGAUGGUGGCAAGCCUCGCGUUCUCUGGCCUGGGGUUCUUGGCCUCACGGAUUCCAAGGAAUGGAAUCUUGGGCCAUGCAGAGGAGCAUCAGAUAAUUAGGCAGCAGUCCAACAAUUAGGUUUUGUGGAACUUUUACUAUGUCAUCUAUUUAUUGGAAUUCCCCCUGGAUACCAGGACCCCCUCCAGCAGAGCUUAAAGUUAUAGUGACAGGAAGUACAAAUUCCGUAUGUGGAUCCCUGGAAGUGUGAUGAGAGGAACCACUGUUUCCAAGAUCUAUUUAUUCUAUUUAUUAGGCCUAUAAAAUCAUGUAAUGACCAUGGCUUCAACUAGACUCU
rnacentral:lncRNA from 1 species